GUUUCCGGUUUGGCUGUUUUCUCAAUAUUUCUUACAAAUCAUAAGCGACUGUAGUAAACUGAUUCUUCAGCUAACAGCUAUAUAUACUGAAAGCAAAGCAAACACUGUGAUUAUACCAUAAUUAUAGCCAUGCAGGUUCAUGCCAGUCAUCUACUUUUGUUGCUAUUCAACAUAUCAGCGCUAGCUGAAUGCUUCACAUCUUCAGAAAAUUUGUUUGGUGCAACAAAAGAGAGCUACACAUGUCCAGGUGAGACAGUGGAACUCAUUUGUAACAUGGAUUGCUUAACUUCGUAUUGGAUUAUUGAUGGAACGUAUUACUACUGGCAAGAUUUGCUGCCUGUAGGAUAUACCUACAGGUUUCCAUCCACUCUCAUCUUGGAUGCAGUCAAUGCAGAUCUGAAUUUUACUAGGUAUCAGUGCCUUGCCUGCAAUAUCGAAAGCUCCAUAAUCACUUUAGUUGUUUUAGGUACCUGUCCUGUCAAUGUUUACAAUCAAUCCAAAGUAACAUUAACGGCUACACUUGAUUGUGAUAUCAUAAGUAAGACGACACAUGCUGGUAUCAGUUCUACUGACUCAGACUCUAUGACAUCCUCGACUCAUUUUAAACCAAUUGCAACAAUCGGUCCAUCUUCAAGUAACAGUAUGCCUAGAGGCACAACAUCACUUUUAGCACCAAUUAAUCGAAGUACAACAGUGCAUAGCAUUGCACCCACAUCUCUAUGUGACGUAGAAAGCUGUGUGUAUAACUCUUCAGGUACACUGUAAAAAAUGAUGUGUGGUUUUCACGCAAGUGCGUGACUAUUGUGGCAACUAUCAGGAAAAAACGCAAGAAAAAACGCACAUUUGCCACAAUAGCCACGCACUCUGCGUGAAAACCACACAUCAUUUUUUACAGUGUAUAACUUGUAAGCCCUUAUUUCAUUUAACACAGGACAUGCAGUAUAUAAUUAUAAUGUCUGAUAUUAUUAGUGGCCAUGGGAGUAUUAGCAGGAAGUAUCAGUGGCGCACUUUUCAUCUUGUUGUGCACUGGUCUCACUGUGAUUUGUAUUUCAAUCAGACGACGUCAUGUUAAAAAAGACCGAACAAGUCAUAUAUAUGAUGAGGUGCAAUCUCCCGAGACAAUUGAACCUGUGUACAGCGUUGUAAACACAAUUAACAAUCGUCAACUUCAAGAUGUGAAAAUGAUUAACAACGAAUGUUAUACUAUCCCCCAAAAGAACAACAGCACACAAUUUGAAAUAAGCUACUGUUCAGCUUACGAACUGUGACUUCUUAUCGAUCGUAACACAAUAUUCUAGUAUGCAUGCAUGCAUGUAUAAUUAACUCCACGCAUAUAUAAAACAUAUAUUUUAUAAU